CAACACGUAGGCCUCGGCCUGACGGCUUGACGGAGGCAACGCGCAGGCGCCAGGGACAUUUUUGGUAGAGCCAGCCCGGCGACCUCUCCCCGGUGUCCAGCACGGUCCCCGCAGGCAUCACGCCGCUCAUCACACAGUGCUCCAAAGCAUCGGCCUCAGUGGUGGCGGAAACAGGACCAGUAGGCUGGAGCCGAUUUCUGGACUUGAAUUCACAACUGUGAGAUUAAGACCUGAGCUGAGAUCGAAUGUCGGACAUUUAAGUGGACUGAGCCACCUAGGUGCUUCAAGAGGCUCUUAAUAUUAGCAGAACAAACUGAGAGCUGCUGUAGGGAAUGUGGGAUGGGGAUGGUCUAAAUGGAUGAUGGGUGUUAAGGGGGCGCUUGUUGAGAAGAGCACUGGGUGUUGUAUGUAAGUGAUGAAUCACUAAAUUCUACUCCUGAAACCAGUACUACAACAUAUGUUAACUAACUUGAAUUUAAAUAAAAACUUGGAAAAAAAAAAUAAAAGAGACACCAGAGAGCUCUUUGUCCCUUUCACUUUGUGAGGACACAAUGAGAACAUGACCAGCUAUGAACUGGGAUAUGGCAUCUCAGCAGUCCCUUGAUUUUAGACUUCUCGGCCUCUGGAACUGUGAGAAAUAAA